rnacentral:lncRNA from 1 species
AAUGAUGCCACCAAGAGUACUUAGCGACGGGUCUAGCUCCUAGACAAGUCCGGCGACUGCUCGGGCUCUACCGUUGCCACCUCCACUACAAACCACCGUUAACAUAUGGAAAAAUUGAUUGAUCACCGAAAAUGCUAUUAGUUGCAUGGGUUUGAUGGUGUUUCUGGCUCCACCAAAGUGAUUGAUGUGUUAGAGUAGGUACAAUAGCAGGCUAUAAGCCAACUAUAAGCAUAUUUUAAAGAGAUAAGAGAGGAGAGAGAAGAGAGGUGGACUACUAAUUUG